rnacentral:rRNA from 1 species
AGCCACACUUUCACUGAAACAAGGGGAAAACAUUUUGGCAGCAGUAGAGAAUCUUGUGCAAUGGGUAAACGCUUGACACAGGGUUUCACACUCAGGUCUGUCUAACUAAGUGCCAGCAGACGCGGUAAAACUUAGAGGCCCAGUUUUUAUUUCGCAUAAGGCGUUAAGUAUGUAGUGGAGCAUAAGAAUAAGGUAAGGCAAACCUCUGGGUAGCGGUGAAAUGUUUAAAGCAAGAGUGGAGGUCCGAUAGUGAAGACUUCUUACCUUGAUUAUGGUUAACCUUCAUGAGAUACGAAAGCUUGGAUAGCAAACAGGAUUAGACACCCUGGUAGUCCUCGCCCUAAACUUUUACAAUAGCUUUAUUAGCGAAAAACCUUAUUGUAUGCCUGAAUACUAUGAUCGCAAGAUUGAAACUCAAAAGGCUUGGCUGUUCACUGUAAAUCAGAGGAGCGUGGAAUUUAAUACGAUGAUCCGCGUGUCACCUUACCUUUCCUUGAAGGGGUAAUAACCGCUCAGGCAUUGCAUGGCCGUCGUCAGGGUAACAAUAAAUGUUAUCCUUAACCCUAUUAUGGAUUAAGUCAGGUGUCAUGGUCUUUAUGGAAAGGGAUUUUAUGCGCUACAUUCUCCUACACAACAUUCCUUAGUAAACUAGGAGGCGGAGGUUCUCUGAAACGGGAAUCUUAAGUAGAAUUUGAUAGUAAUCGGGAAGUAGAGCGUUCCGGUGAAUUCUAAACCAGUGUUAGCACAAAUCGCCCGUCGUCCCCCUCAAGUUAAGGAUACGAGACGCCCCGCCGUGGGUUAUCCCUCCUUUCCGAGAAUGGGUAAGUCGUAACAUAGUAGGGGUAAGGGAACUUGCUCUUGGGCCUUGCGCGUUCAACACGUACUUGGCCGCGCUUCG